rnacentral:rRNA from 1 species
CUUGCACACUGAACAUUCUAGCGGCGGACGGGUGAGUAACGCGUGAACAAUCUGUCCCAUACAGGGGGAUAACAGAUGGAAACAUCUGCUAAUACCGCAUAAGACCACGAUGUCACAUGGCGACGGGGUAAAAGGAGCAAUCCGGUAUGGGGUGAGUUCGCGUCCGAUUAGCUAGUUGGUGAGGUAACGGCCCACCAAGGCGAUGAUCGGUAGCCGACCUGAGAGGGUGAUCGGCCACACUGGAACUGAGAGACGGUCCAGACUCCUACGGGAGGCAGCAGUGGGGAAUAUUGGGCAAUGGGCGAAAGCCUGACCCAGCAACGCCGCGUGAGGGAAGAAGGUUUUCGGAUUGUAAACCUCUGUCCUAUGGGACGAAGGACGUGACGGUACCAUAGGAGGAAGCCCCGGCUAACUACGUGCCAGCAGCCGCGGUAAUACGUAGGGGGCGAGCGUUGUCCGGAAUGACUGGGCGUAAAGGGCGUGUAGGCGGCUUUUUAAGUCUGGAGUGAAAGCCCCAUUUUCA